rnacentral:rRNA from 1 species
GACGUAGGGCGCGAGCGUUGUCCGGAUUUAUUGGGCGUAAAGAGCUCGUAGGCGGCUUGUCGCGUCGUCCGUGAAACCCAUGGCUCAACUGUGGCUUGCGGUCGAUACGGGCAGGCUGGAGUUCGGUAGGGGAGACUGGAAUUCCCGGUGUAGCGGUGGAAUGCGUAGAGAUCGGGAAGAACAUCGGUGGCGAAGGCGGCCUGCUGGGCUCUUGCUGACACUGAGGCGCGACAGCGUGGGGAGCAAACAGG